AUGAUAAAAUAAAAUGCUCCGCUGGGGCGCAGCUUGAUACAACCGCAGAGAAUGAAAGUGGUCUAAGAACUUAAAAAUUUUCAAUUUACCUAUUCAUACAUGUGAUGGACUGUGAAACUCAGAUCAGGAGAUUGGGAAAUUUUGGUCAGGAGAUUAGGACUCAGAUCAGGAGGUUUUUAAUCGACAUUAAUUUUGUUGUAAAUGUAACCGUGUGCUGUAAAAAUGGUCUUUUAAAGUGUGUUUUCUUCAACUUUCCAACCAAUUUAUUAUGUUUAUAGUACCCUUGUACUUAUAAAGUUUCUCCAUCUUUAUAUUCUACAUGUUCAAUCUAACAUUGUUUUUUUCCAGUAUGUUCUUUAAAUUUUUUACUUCAUAUUCUAUAAAACAAUCAUUGCAACCGGAACAUUUGUUUAGCUGUCUGCAAAUAGUUUUUAUUUUUUUUUUUUUUCUCUUGCAAAUAGUUUUUAUUUGCAAACUCAGAAAUUCAUUCUAUCUGUAAAUUUUGGGUCAUAGUUAUUAUAUAAAUUUCAAUUUAAGCCUUAAAAGGAAGUAUAGAAUCCUCAAAUAAUUUUCAAAUUAUUAUUUUUUUAUUUGUCCUAAGACAUUUAAAAUCAUUUAAUAACCAUCCUUUUAUGAUUAUUUGUUCAAUUUAUAUUUUAUUUAUAUUCUUUUAAAAAUUUUCAUUAUUAAAAGGAAAGUAACUUAAAACAGGAUAAAUCAAGGGAAGUAACCCAAUAAAUACACAGUUUUUGUUACACAACGGCAGUUAGCCUGAGGUAAAAAUCGUUGCUUACCAGUAUGUUUGACACCCAAGCUGACAAGUGAAGCCAUAUAAUUAUGCAUGUUAAUUGAUUUACAGUUAAAAUAUAACUUCAGGUAAUGUCAGUUACACCAGAUGCCUGAGAUGUUAUGUUGGGCAGAAAUUUUUCAUUCAUGAAAAAUUUCAUACACAGGAUUUUUUCAACGGGAGUGGGGGAGGAGACCCCUGAAAACGGGAUUAUUGUACUCCCGUCGGGAGGUUCACAUGUAUGCCUAUUCAAACCAUAUCAUUAUUAUUUGCUUUUAUAUAUAAAUCAGAAAUAACCAAUUUAAAAUGGAAAAUGUUAAAGAAAAAAAAGGAAAAAAAAAAUCCCCCCCCCAAUUUUU